rnacentral:rRNA from 1 species
AAAUGAAUAGACGGGGGCCCGCACAAGCAGCGGAGCAUGUGGUUUAAUUCGACGCAACGCGUAGAACCUUACCAGGGCUUGACAUCCCCUGACAGCCCAAGAGAUUGGGUCUCCCUUCGGGGCAGGGUGACAGGUGGUGCAUGGUUGUCGUCAGCUCGUGUCGUGAGAUGUUGGGUUAAGUCCCGCAACGAGCGCAACCCUCGUGCUAUGUUGCCAGCGGUUCGGCCGGGCACUCAUGGCAGACUGCCGGGGACAACUCGGAGGAAGGUGGGGAUGACGUCAAAUCAUCAUGCCCCUUAUGUCCUGGGCUACACACGUGCUACAAUGGCCGGCACAGACGGAUGCGAAGCGGUGACGUGGAGCCAAUCCGAGAAAGCCGGUCUCAGUUCGGAUCGCAGGCUGCAACUCGCCUGCGUGAAGCCGGAGUUGCUAGUAAUCGCGAAUCAGCAUGUCGCGGUGAAUACGUUCCCGGGCCUUGUACACACCGCCCGU